UGCAAGCGGGGCUCAGCUCUCUUUGAAGUGAGGUGAAGCAGGGCUGUUUUGACAAAGUCAUUGCUGUGAUCAAGAGCGAGAGUUUGAUAUUGGGAGCAGCAGUAGGAGUCAUGGGUGUUGUUGAGAUUGGAUCCCUGAUCCUGUCCAUAAUUCUCUUCAUAAAGCUGGGCAGCAUGCAUUACGAAGGGAGACAGAGAAUCAGGCCAGAAACUUCUGGAGAGAAGUUGGACAUUGGAGAGAAGUUGGACAUUGGAGAGAAGUUGCACAUUGGAGAGACAGACAACAUGAUUAAGGCAACAUGACUAAAGCCAGGGUGACGGCAACAAAGCAUUACUUUUCUUGCAGAGAUUUUUCAAUUCGAUUGGUUAUGUAUAAACAUUAAUUCAACCAUAUUAAAACUUGUUUUUGGG
ensembl:lncRNA